CUAUGGUCGCUCAGAUGAAGAAGGAUCCCCAUCCAUUGUCCUCAUUCUGGUGAUAUCACUGCUGGCUGAGAGGUUUCCUGUGCUUGCCGGUGGAACUCAAAGCCCGGAUAUCACUCGGAGCGCCGUGCAUUAUUCUGCUGGGUAAAGCCAGAGCAGUUCUUCCGCUAUCGUCGCCCCCGGGCAAAGGGCAUGUACUGGGCCCCACUCGCACUGCUGCUCUUACUAACACAUUGACGCAGUACGAGAAAGUGAAGGCCUUCACAUGCACGGAGCAAAUUUCGUCAACACAUUUGGAACUCUACUAGCAACCAAUUCAAUCUGUCUCGUCCCAGUGCCUGCAAUGGAUCGUGUUUGCUGGUAGCUGUAAACAUGGACAUUCACAAUGCUUGCUUGGACAAUGCUUGCAUUCAAUAAAAAAAUAUGGCUGCAGUCAGAACUCUAUGAUG